CUUUUUGCCUAUAAACCGUACACGACCAGGCCUAAAUCGGAAAGCCCAAAACCAAACUCCGUACUUCCCAAUUUGUUUCGAAGUACAAUUGCACAAUUCAACUGUUAAUAAUGGGGACUGCCAGUUUACCAUUAUCCCAGUUCAAACACGUCGCCUCCCGCCUUCUUGGUGAUCUCCGCCAGUUCUCGUCUUCCGUCGCUCUGAUCCGAAGAGCCUGGACUCUCUUCCCGGAGGAGCCCGAACCCGUAGAACCGGACGCCAGAAGCUUCUUUACGGGCUCGCCCUAAAGUACCAGCGACCCGUAGAUGAAAUCUUGAUCAACUCUGUAAGCUUAAUUGGUACUGUAGACUGCCCUUUUGAAAAAAUUCAAUACUACCAAAAUUUUGGUGUCCAUACUAUUCUCAUUGUCAAAGCUUCCUCUAGCUCGUACCGCUACUUGAAAGUAAGGACUCCAUUAAUAUUUGUCUCUGAUUAUAGUUUAGUUUUUAUUUUUUCAAUUUUUUGUUUUCCCUGAAUGCGUGCGCGAGCGUGCGCGAGCUUUGUAGCGAUUUUAGGCUAGCGAUGGACGUAUUUAUACAAAUACUGUACAGCUACAGCUGAAAAUGUGGGAUGAAAUUGCGGAAAUAUUGGUCCAGCAUCUGAAGCCGAAAGAUUUAAUUUUUGUUUCAGGUUUGAAAUGCUAUUUUUUUAACACUUGUCAAGUGACUGGCAUAGCUUUUUCUUUGUGCAAUAUAUAUCUAUUGGAAUUUAGAACCUUACAAUCUUGGGACCUAGUUGUUUAAUUAUAUUUUUAUUCUUGCACUGAGGCUAUUUUGCCAAAUGCCAACAUGUACUACUUCUAUGAGUUGUACCCCCAUGCUCUCCCCCCCCCCCCUUUUGUCAUGAAGGAAUUCCAUGUUAGUGUAACAUGGAGUGCUUAUAUUCCUGUAGGGUGGUAUUUGUCCUUCAAAUCAAGUUAUAAGAAACUUGUCUUGUUCUGAGGAACUGGGGAGAUAAAUCUCAUUCCUAUAGCACGUAUAUUAGCAAUGUCGUGUUCUCAAAUUUGUGUGAGUUCUCAUCUUACCAGGGUCCAUUUGUGUUUGUUCAAAAUUUACUUUUUGUUUGGUGGAAUAAAAACGAGACCUUUAAUUGAAAUUCAGAAAAGAAGUGAGUUAAUAUAUAACUGGAUUUUUUCAAAUACCAGUUCCAAGCCUCAAACUUCGCGUCGUGAAACGUAGUUGAAGUGUUCUCUAUUAGUUUCUGUUAUUAGUAAUAAUACAUUGAAAUGAGUUCUUGGUAUCAAUUUAUAUUUUUAUUAAAUGAAUCAACUUAAUAUAUAGGGCCUGUUUGUGCCCUCUUUAAUUUUAAAAAAGUAUAUUAUGGAAUAGUGAUUGAUGUUAAAAUAUGUGGUUGAAAAAGAAGGAAAUUUUUUUAUUUAUAUAUAAUAUUAUUUUAAUGAAAAAUGUGUGGUUGAAAAUGAUUACCGUAGAAAAAAUAAUAUGGUAGAAUGGUUGACAAACAAAGACAUAUCAUUGUCAUUACUAUUCAAGUGAAGUUGCUAGUAUCAGUUAUAUGAGGAAACGAAGCAGUUGGAUAAAAUUUAGUUAUAAAAAAAAUGUAAUAGAAAAAUGAAAUUUUAUCAUAAUAUUGGUUAUUAUGUUUUAUAAAUUCCCAAGAAUCUUUAUUAUAAUAUACACCCAUAUUAUUCAUAAAAAUUUCGCAGCUAUGCAUAUAGAGAUGCUUGUUUUAAAUUUCUGUCAGCAGGAUAUGUUGAUAUAUCGAAAUUCUAAUAUUUAAAUAUUUUCUAUGUAGGGACAGGUUGAGGAGAUGAAUUUUGUUGCUCAAAAUUGUCUAGCCACAGUUUGCAAGUAAUCAAAGAAAUUGGAAUCAGGAGGUAGAAAACUUCCUUCUAUUUUUAGCUUUGGUGGUAACGUCCGGCAAGUAAAGCGCCGCUUGUAUAUUGCAUAAUAACUGUAAAUUAAUAUAAAUAUUUCUUGAGCUUUUAAGGGAAAAAGUGGAUCAAUUGAAGAUAUGACUUGCUGGAAAUUGGACGUCGUGGACCCAGUUCUACUUACCUAAAAGAUUAGCCUUAUAGGAGUAAAUAAUCAUGAAUAGUUGACCAUAGAGUUUUUGUUUUCAUUUCAAUAUUUCUUUUGUUUUCUUCUUCUUUAUUCUUUGGUUCUGUCCACCUAUCACCAUUUGAGCUAGAACUAGAAUGCUACAGUUCUUUUUUUUUUUUUUUUAAAUAACUUAAUGGAAGGGGCAAACAGUUGCUAAGUUAGAGGAGUAUUUCUAGAUAUGGUCUAGUAGUUCAGAAAUCAGAAUGAACUUUUUGCAAUUGAUGUAUGGACAAGGGUUUGUGAUAUAUGCAUUUUUGUUCAAUUAGCAGAUUAUGCACAG
rnacentral:lncRNA from 1 species